rnacentral:rRNA from 1 species
UACAGAGGUCCCAAGCGUUGCUCGGAUUCACUGGGCGUAAAGGGUGCGUAGGUGGUGAGGUAAGUCGGAUGUGAAAGCUCGGAGCUCAACUCCGAAAUGGCAUUGGAAACUACCUUGCUCGAGGGUUGGAGGGGGGACUGGAAUACUUGGUGUAGCAGUGAAAUGCGUAGAUAUCAAGUGGAACACCAGUGGCGAAGGCGAGUCCCUGGACAACUCCUGACACUGAGGCACGAAAGCUAGGGGAGCAAACAGG